rnacentral:rRNA from 1 species
CACGACUACAUUAGAUACCCGCGUAGUCCCAGCCGUAAACGAUGCGCGUUAGGUGUAUCGGUGACCACGAGUCACCGAGGUGCCGAAGGGAAACCGUGAAACGUGCCGCCUGGGAAGUACGGUCGCAAGGCUGAAACUUAAAGGAAUUGGCGGGGAGCACCACAACGGGUGGAGCCUGCGGUUUAAUUGGACUCAACGCCGGGAAGCUCACCGGAUAAGACAGCGGAAUGAUUGCCGGGCUGAAGACUCUGCAUGACUAGCUG